rnacentral:rRNA from 1 species
UACAGAGGGUGCGAGCGUUGUCCGGAAUCACUGGGCGUAAAGGGCGCGUAGGCGGCUUGAUAAGGUUGCGGUGAAAGCCCGGGGCUCAACCCCGGGUCGGCCGUGGCAACUGUCGAGCUGGAGCACUGUAGAGGCAGGUGGAAUUCCGGGUGUAGCGGUGGAAUGCGUAGAGAUCCGGAAGAACACCGGUGGCGAAGGCGGCCUGCUGGGCAGUGGCUGACGCUGAAGCGCGACAGCGUGGGGAGCAAACAGG